UAUUAUGAGCAAUUUAAAGUGAUUAUCAGGGUAGUAAUAGUUAUGAUCUUGAAACCCAAAGAAUUUGGCGGUAUUUUAGUCCUUUCAGAGGAAUCUGUCCUGUAAUUGAUAUUACACGAUUUUUUUUACUUAAUUUGGUAUUCAGUUUAUAUACCGCCGUCGGUAAGAUUAUCUUGUGGAGGGUAUUAAAUUUCAUUAUAUUUAAUUUUAUAAUAUGUCAGGUCAAGGUGUAGCUUAUAGUUAAGUAGAGAUGGAUUACAAUAAAUUUAUUUAUACGGAUGAUGAUUUGAAAUUGAUUAUUUGAAGGUGGAUUUGAUUGUAAAUUGAUGGAGAAUAAUUGAUUGAUUGUGGCUCUAGAGUGUGUACAUAUCGCCCGUCGCUCUCGUUUUAAGAUGAG
rnacentral:rRNA from 1 species